UAGUAAGAAGCAACUAACAAGAAGCUGCGACACAGAACGUACAGUUAAUUAAAGGUUUCGACAGUCAGGUAGCCAGAGAUACGCGCCCCAGAACUUAAUACCGCGCAUAAACAUGAGAUUUAUCAUGGCAAAUGAUCAACGCACGAUUUAUGCUCAUUACAAAUAUGGCCAGCCACGAAUUGGCCAGUAAAAAAAAUAAAAAAGCGGUCCAGAGAGGCAGAAGCAGCUGAAGCCAAAUUGCAUUUACUUUGGCUGCCAUCGAAGCCGACAUAAAUAAAAGUCAAAAUAAAGAGUUGCAAAUGGUGCAGUGCCACAUACAUUUUGGUGUUACUCGCGUGCGCUACAGCACAGAUACAGUGGGCCAGCUGCACGGAAUUCCUAUCAAAAUGUUUUUACACAGCUUUAAAAUAUUAAAAAAUAUAUUAUAUUUUAUGUUUGGAUGUACUCUCAUAGAAAAGGUACUGUUAAAUACAACUCUGUAUAUAUUCAUUUUUUUAAAGGUUUUAAUGAAAUGUUCAGUCUUCUUUGGAGUUCGAAGAUUGUAUGCUUUUAAGUUGUCCUACACUUAAAGCAAAACAAUUUGCUACGUAGGUAUAGGUAUUCCCACGAGUAUUUCACAGUGACCUGUUGAACUUUGAAAGAUUUAUGUCAAUCCAUUUCUCUGACUAAUUUGACCAACUGGUCGCUGCCGGCACAGGCCCCAGGCUUCCUUCCUGUUGCUAUCUAUCCCAGAUAUAUUUAUGUAUAGCUAUCCCAGCAGUUUGGCAUUCGCAAUGCUCCGUGGCAACCCUGGCCGGCCCAUAAAAUCCAACUACUUAACUACAAUGCGCCGCAGCAGUGCACUUAACGCAUUUUUCACGCUUGACAUUUGACUUGGGGCGCACUUUUCUCGUUGUCGUCGUCGUCGUUUCUGCUUCUCUGCUGUCUUUUGUUGUUGCUGGGCCUGGGGAAACUCAGAGUAUCUGAAACUGAAAAACUUAAAGUAUCUGUGCGGUGCACCGCAACAGCUAUCCAAAGUCAGACGCGCUCUUAAUUUUCGUUCUAUCUGCACAGUCAGUGAGACACAUUUGGCAUGUGACGUCACUUGGGGACUAUGAAGCCAAACGUGAAUCAUCCGCGGCAAGCGCAAAUUGUUUUCCUCUCUUUUUUUUAGUCUGUGUUUUUGAUUUUGUACACCAAAAUAAAUUUCCAUUUCCAAAGAAAUAGCACAAAUAUACUGUUUUAAAUGUGUUAUAAAUACAUACGUUUUAUAUUCCUAUGAUUAA